rnacentral:rRNA from 1 species
UACGGAGGGUGCAAGCGUUGUCCGGAUUUAUUGGGCUUAAAGGGUGCGUAGGCGGCCCUGUAAGUCAGUGGUGAAAUACUGCAGCUUAACUGUAGCAUUGCCAUUGAUACUGUAGGGCUUGAGUACAGAUGAGGUAGGCGGAAUUGAUGGUGUAGCGGUGAAAUGCAUAGAUACCAUCAAGAACACCGAUUGCGAAGGCAGCUUACUAAGCUGUAACUGACGCUGAGGCACGAAAGCGUGGGGAUCGAACAGG